CCUACGGGUGGCAGCAGUGAGGAAUAUUGGUCAAUGGACGAGAGUCUGAACCAGCCAAGUAGCGUGAAGGAUGACUGCCCUAUGGGUUGUAAACUUCUUUUAUAUGGGAAUAAAAUGUUCCACGUGUGGGAUUUUGUAUGUACCAUAUGAAUAAGGAUCGGCUAACUCCGUGCCAGCAGCCGCGGUAAUACGGAGGAUCCGAGCGUUACCCGGAUUUAUUGGGUUUAAAGGGAGCGUAGGUGGAUUGUUAAGUCAGUUGUGAAAGUUUGCGGCUCAACCGUAAAAUUGCAGUUGAAACUGGCAGUCUUGAGUACAGUAGAGGUGGGCGGAAUUCGUGGUGUAGCGGUGAAAUGCUUAGAUAUCACGAAGAACUCCGAUUGCGAAGGCAGUUCACUGGACUGCAACUGACACUGAGGCUCGAAAGUGUGGGUAUCAAACAGGAUUAGAUACCCUAGUAGUC
rnacentral:rRNA from 1 species